rnacentral:rRNA from 1 species
GAACGCUGGCGGCGUGCUUAACACAUGCAAGUCGAGCGGAAAGGCCCUUCGGGGUACUCGAGCGGCGAACGGGUGAGUAACACGUGAGUAACCUGCCCUUGGCUCUGGGAUAAGCCCGGGAAACUGGGUCUAAUACCGGAUAUGACCCUCCACCGCAUGGUGUGAGGGUGGAAAGUUUUUCGGCUGGGGAUGGACUCGCGGUCUAUCAGCUUGUUGGUGGGGUGAUGGCCUACCAAGGCGACGACGGAUAGCCGGCCUGAGAGGGUGACCGGCCACACUGGGACUGAGACACGGCCCAGACUCCUACGGGAGGCAGCAGUGGGGAAUAUUGCGCAAUGGGCGAAAGCCUGACGCAGCGACGCCGCGUGGGGGAUGAAGGCCUUCGGGUUGUAAACCUCUUUCACCACCGACGAAGCUAACGUGACGGUAGGUGGGGAAGAAGCGCCGGCUAACUACGUGCCAGCAGCCGCGGUAAUACGUAGGGCGCAAGCGUUGUCCGGAAUUAUUGGGCGUAAAGAGCUCGUAGGUGG